GACGAGGGAUCCUAGCGUUGUUCGGAAUCAUUGGGCGUAAAGCGGAUGUAGGUGGCUUUGUAAGUCAGGUGUGAAAGCCCCGAGCUCAACUCAGGAAGUGCAUUUGAUACUGCGAAGCUUGAGUGUGGAAGAGGUAAGUAGAAUACCUGGUGUAGUGGUGAAAUACGUAGAUAUCAGGUGGAAUACCGGAGGCGAAGGCGGCUUACUGGUCCAACACUGACACUGAGAUCCGAAAGCGUGGGGAUCAAACAGG
rnacentral:rRNA from 1 species